rnacentral:rRNA from 1 species
GACGAACGCUGGCGUCGUGCUUAACACAUGCAAGUCGAACGGAAAGGCCCUGCUUUUGUGGGGUGCUCGAGUGGCGAACGGGUGAGUAACACGUGAGUAACCUGCCCUUGACUUUGGGAUAACUUCAGGAAACUGGGGCUAAUACCGGAUAGGAGCUCCUGCUGCAUGGUGGGGGCUGGAAAGUUUCGGCGGUUGGGGAUGGACUCGCGGCUUAUCAGCUUGUUGGUGGGGUAGUGGCUUACCAAGGCUUUGACGGGUAGCCGGCCUGAGAGGGUGACCGGCCACAUUGGGACUGAGAUACGGCCCAGACUCCUACGGGAGGCAGCAGUGGGGAAUAUUGCACAAUGGGCGGAAGCCUGAUGCAGCAACGCCGCGUGCGGGAUGACGGCCUUCGGGUUGUAAACCGCUUUCGCCUGUGACGAAGCGUGAGUGACGGUAAUGGGUAAAGAAGCACCGGCUAACUACGUG